UAAGAACGCUGGCGGCAGGCCUACACAUGCAAGUCGAGCGGAUGAGUGGAGCUUGCUCCAUGAUUCAGCGGCGGACGGGUGAGUAAUGCCUAGGAAUCUGCCUGGUAGUGGGGGACAACGUUUCGAAAGGAACGCUAAUACCGCAUACGUCCUACGGGAGAAAGUGGGGGAUCUUCGGACCUCACGCUAUCAGAUGAGCCUAGGUCGGAUUAGCUAGUUGGUGAGGUAAAGGCUCACCAAGGCGACGAUCCGUAACUGGUCUGAGAGGAUGAUCAGUCACACUGGAACUGAGACACGGUCCAGACUCCUACGGGAGGCAGCAGUGGGGAAUAUUGGACAAUGGGCGAAAGCCUGAUCCAGCCAUGCCGCGUGUGUGAAGAAGGUCUUCGGAUUGUAAAGCACUUUAAGUUGGGAGGAAGGGCAGUAAGUUAAUACCUUGCUGUUUUGACGUUACCAACAGAAUAAGCACCGGCUAACUUCGUGCCAGCCCGCCGCGGUA
rnacentral:rRNA from 2 species